rnacentral:lncRNA from 1 species
UACACAAUUCCUCCUUCACCCCUCUUCCUAUUCCCUAAUGCUUCGCCUUCCCACCGCAUAUCUACCCGAUGCUUCGUCUUCCCAUCCGCCCACUUUCUAAUUAUUUAUAUCUAUAUUUAUACCUAUACAUUAUUUCUCAUAGAGUUUGCCAUGUUGCAAUUUCUCCUUCACCCCUCUUCCCAUUCCCUAAUGCUUCGCCUUCCCACCACAUCUCUGCCCGAUGCUUCGUCUUCCCAUCCACCCACUUUCUAAUUAAUGUCUUUAUAUGAUCCAUUUUUAUCGAAACCAAUUACUUUAUAAAAGAAAGUAAAAUAAGAUCUCUUCAUACUCUUUUUUAUCAUUUUUUUUCUUUUUUUUUAUGCACAAG